CGCUGGGAUAAUGAUGAUCCGGAGGUCCGCUCCGGAAAGGAUGCUUUUGUCAGGUAUACGGACGGGUUGGUUUUUCUCUCUCUCUCUCUCUCUCUCCAUUAUUACGCAUUUUCGGUUUAAUGGGUUUUCGGCAAACCGUCCGACGGCGGACGACGGGGGCAGCGCAGGUAUACGCGUUAUUGUACUGUAACGUUACCCCGCCGUCCGUUGCCCCGUCGCCCGCGCGUCGCGAUACUAUUCGGAUCGAAACGAGAGAAAAAAACGUACGUAUACACACCCGUGCCUAAUAUAUCGUGUUAUACCUAUACAACACA